rnacentral:rRNA from 1 species
UACGGAGGGGGCUAGCGUUGUUCGGAAUUACUGGGCGUAAAGCGCACGUAGGCGGCUUGGUAAGUUAGAGGUGAAAGCCUGGAGCUCAACUCCAGAAUUGCCUUUAAGACUGCCGAGCUAGCAGGUGAGAGAGGUGAGUGGAAUUCCGAGUGUAGCGGUGAAAUUCGUAGAUAUUCGGAAGAACACCAGUGGCGAAGGCGGCUCACUGGCUCAUACUGGACGCUGAGGUGCGAAAGCGUGGGGAGCAAACAGG